UUGAUCUCAAAUCAGGUAGGGCUACCCGCUGAACUUAAGCAUAUCAAUAAGCGGAGGAAAAGAAACUAACAAGGAUUCCCCUAGUAACUGCGAGUGAAGCGGGAAGAGCUCAAAUUUAAAAUCUGGCGUGCCUCCGGCCGUCCGAGUUGUAGUCUGGAGAAGCGUUUUCCGUGUCGGACCGUGUAUAAGUCUCUUGGAACAGGGCGUCAUAGAGGGUGAGAAUCCCGUCUUUGACACGGACUGCCGAUGCUUUGUGAUGCGCUCUCAAAGAGUCGAGUUGUUUGGGAAUGCAGCUCAAAAUGGGUGGUAAAUUCCAUCUAAAGCUAAAUAUAGGCGAGAGACCGAUA
rnacentral:rRNA from 1 species